UACGAAGGGGGCUAGCGUUGCUCGGAAUCACUGGGCGUAAAGGGUGCGUAGGUGGAUUUUUAAGUCAGGGGUGAAAUCCUGGAGCUCAACUCCAGAACUGCCUUUGAUACUGGGAAUCUUGAGUUCGGGGGAGGUGAGUGGAACUGCGAGUGUAGAGGUGAAAUUCGUAGAUAUUCGCAAGAACACCAGUGGCGAAGGCGGCUCACUGGCCCGAUACUGACACUGAGGCACGAAAGCGUGGGGAGCAAACAGG
rnacentral:rRNA from 1 species